AUUCAUCGUCAGUACGGGCCGCUACCUCUCGUGAACUGCACGACGUGCGGAUUUAGGGUUAUUAAAAGGUACACUACUGAUACGACGAACAACAAGAUCCACAAUUUCGUGAAGUUUGUCAAUCAUAAUCCUAAAGGUGGAAAAUGCAAUUUCUGGUAUUGGAUAGAAGAUUAUGUUGAUUUUCUUCGAGACAAAGGUUAA
rnacentral:rRNA from 1 species